rnacentral:rRNA from 1 species
GGCAGACGGGUGAGUAAUGUAUAGGAAUCUACCUAGUAGUACGGAAUAAUUGUUGGAAACGACAACUAAUACCGUAUACGCCCUACGGGGGAAAAAUUUAUUGCUAUUAGAUGAGCCUAUAUUAGAUUAGCUAGUUGGUGGGGUAAUAGCCUACCAAGGUAAUGAUCUAUAGCUGAUCUGAGAGGAUGAUCAGCCACACUGGAACUGAGAUACGGUCCAGACUCCUACGGGAGGCAGCAGUGGGGAAUAUUGGACAAUGGGCGAAAGCCUGAUCCAGCCAUGCCGCAGAGUGAAGAAGGCCUUUGGGUUGUAAAGCUCUUUUAGUGAGGAAGAUAAUGACGGUACUCACAGAAGAAGUCCUGGCUAACUCCGUGCCAGCAGCCGCGGUAAUACGGAGAGGGCUAGCGUUAUUCGGAAUUAUUGGGCGUAAAGGGCGCGUAGGCUGGUUAAUAAGUUAAAAGUGAAAUCCCGAGGCUUAACCUUGGAAUUGCUUUUAAAACUAUUAAUCUAGAGAUUGAAAGAGGAUAGGGGAAUUCCUGAUGUAGAGGUAAAAUUCGUAAAUAUUAGGAGGAACACCAGUGGCGAAGGCGUCUAUCUGGUUCAAAUCUGACGCUGAAGCGCGAAGGCGUGGGGAGCAAACAGGAUUAGAUACCCUGGUAGUCCACGCUGUAAACGAUGAAUGUUAAAUAUGGGGAGUUUACUUUCUGUAUUACAGCUAACGCGUUAAACAUUCCGCCUGGGGACUACGGUCGCAAGAUUAAAACUCAAAGGAAUUGACGGGGACCCGCACAAGCGGUGGAGCAUGUGGUUUAAUUCGAUGCAACGC